GACGAACGCUGGCGGCGUGCCUAAUACAUGCAAGUAGAACGCUGAAGCUUGGUGCUUGCACCGAGCGGAUGAGUUGCGAACGGGUGAGUAACGCGUAGGUAACCUGCCUGGUAGCGGGGGAUAACUAUUGGAAACGAUAGCUAAUACCGCAUAAUAGUAGAUGUUGCAUGACAUUUGCUUAAAAGGUGCAAUUGCAUCACUACCAGAUGGACCUGCGUUGUAUUAGCUAGUUGGUGAGGUAACGGCUCACCAAGGCAACGAUACAUAGCCGACCUGAGAGGGUGAUCGGCCACACUGGGACUGAGACACGGCCCAGACUCCUACGGGAGGCAGCAGUAGGGAAUCUUCGGCAAUGGACGGAAGUCUGACCGAGCAACGCCGCGUGAGUGAAGAAGGUUUUCGGAUCGUAAAGCUCUGUUGUAAGAGAAGAACGAGUGUGAGAGUGGAAAG
rnacentral:rRNA from 1 species